rnacentral:lncRNA from 1 species
UCCUCCUCUCAGCUGAAGCUGCCCCACAGCUGCGGCCACAGCUCAGCACAGGCCGGGCAGAGCAGGGGCUCAGGCAGCUGCAGAAAGGAUGAUCUAGCAGGCCUGCCUACUGCCCAGCUGGCCCUGGGGCGCAGAAGGAUGUCCCCGUUGUGCCAGGCAGGUGGCAAGGAUUGUCUGGUGUCCGCGGACCCAGAAGAGAAAGCAAGGAAAUGCUUAGGGUCUCCAUCUGGGAGGCUCUUUGGCUGGAGGUGGCUUUUCAAGGCUUUGAGCCCUGGCUCGCCUUGGGCUUCUCCUGCCGACCCUGCUCUGGCCUGUGUUCCUCCCUUGGUCACUCGUGUUCUCGAGAUUGCCUGUGGUCCUCUCCGGUAAUGGGGUGCAGGACAACGCCACCUUCCUCCCAGCCCCCUCUUUCUCAGCCUGGCCCCUCCUUGGCCCAGGACCCCACCAUCACCCCUGAAGAGGCCAGACAGGCGUCUACGUGGACAGACGGCACGGGGCAUCCGUGCACUCACGGGAGCCACAGCCACUUCAUAACUGCACCAGCGUCUGCGUGUAUCUGAACAGCAGCAUGAAGACAGCCAGCUCUGUCCUCGGCUCAGAGGCCAGCAGGGACCCACAACACUGAGGAUGCUGUCGAGAGCAGCUGCCUGGUGCUUCACACCCCGUGCACCAAAAGUGCGUGGCUCACUGUGCUGCUCAGGGUCCUCGUUAGGAACGAUUGGCCCAGAUCCAAUUAGAGACGGGCCCGGGACAUGCAAACCAAGGAGCAGAGGCGGAAAUCACAGAGCAAGCCACAGAUGCGGUCUGGCUGGGCAGGAUGGAAGUCAAGGCCUCCCUUGGCUGGGAGACUGAUGCUCAUCCUCGUGAGUCUGCUGACUGGUGGCGGGGACCCUUGGGACAUUCACCUUCAGCAUGGGGUGGGCAAUGGAAGUGCAGCUUCCUGGACUGUUGACUGCGAAUGACGUUGCUCUUGACAGUACUGUUAUGGGCAAGGAUGGAAAAUCAUGCUCAGAUCCACAUGCACCAGUGUCAGAGAGACAACAGUUCUCAGAGUCACCUAGGUGGGCAGUCACAGGAGCUGGGACAUCAGCUGGGAGACAGCAAGGAUGAGGUACCAGAACGCCACUAGAACCCCAGGUUAAAGAUAUUUAAUGACAUGGGAACAGGCAAUCUAUGAAUUAUGCAAUCUUUUAUGAAGUAGACUAUAAGCUAAGCUGGAAUCUAUAUCAUGAUCCAGAAUUUUCCUGGAGGGAGCAAGAGAGAGAGAGAAGGAAGAAGAAGAAGGAGGACAGGGUGGGGGGAGGAGGAGGAGAGGGGAUGCACGUGAUUUUUACUUUGUGCCCACACAGUAUUGAAGAGCACAGACUGAAGGCAACAUUCAGUUUAAAUCUCUUCUGCCCGCCUGUCCUCCUGACAGCCAUCAGACCACAGCCAAUCAUGUAAGCGGCCAGGGAUGUAGCUCAGUGGCAUCGUGCCUGCUUUGCAAGUGCAAGGUCCUGAGUUCGAUCUCCAGUACCAAAAAAAAAUCAUGUAACCUCCGUGCCUCAGUUUGUUCAUAGGUAAACUGAAGAUUAGAACAAUGCCUACCUUUACAGGUGUUUGGAAGAGUGGUAGUGCAGGGUAAGCAUUGCACACAUUUAUCACGUAACAUUUAGAAACUGAGUUUCUACAGUUUUUUAAAAAAUGUCUGCAAAAUCCUCGCAUUACUGCCAUAGUUAAAAUAAAAAUACUUACAGUGGACCCUUGACUAACGAACUCAAUUUGUCUGCAAGGGAUGAUUCUAAUUCACGUUUGUCAAUUGA